UGGGGAAUUUUGGACAAUGGGCGCAAGCCUGAUCCAGCCAUGCCGCGUGCAGGAUGAAGGCCUUCGGGUUGUAAACUGCUUUUGUACGGAACGAAAAGGUGCCUUCUAAUAAAGGGCGCUCAUGACGGUACCGUAAGAAUAAGCACCGGCUAACUACGUGCCAGCAGCCGCGGUAAUACGUAGGGUGCGAGCGCUAAUCGGAAUUACUGGGCGUAAAGCGUGCGCAGGCGGUCUUGCAAGACAGUGGUGAAAUCCCCGGGCUCAACCUGGGAACGGCCAUUGUGACUGCAAGGCUGGAGUACGGCAGAGGGGGAUGGAAUUCCGCGUGUAGCAGUGAAAUGCGUAGAUAUGCGGAGGAACACCGAUGGCGAAGGCAGUCCCCUGGGCCUGUACUGACGCUCAUGCACGAAAGCGUGGGGAGCAAACA
rnacentral:rRNA from 1 species